GAAGCUGACCUACAGUUUAGCCGCCUGGGAGACAGUCAGGAUAGCAGAGUUGUCCGUGGGAACGGAUGAGAUAGGAAGUGUUGGGAGAUGUGAUAGGAAAUUGAAUUGGACAUGUUUACAUACUGCUUAAUUAUCAGAAGGACUUCAAUGAAUCUGAAGGAAAAACUUCACUGGAGAGAAUGGGUUAUAUAAAAUUAUCUGGAAAGAGUAAAUUUGCCCAGGGUCCUAUUCUGUUCUUUCCUAUCAGAGUUUCUCUUAGUCUUAUCAUGAAGAUGACAAAAUUUAGAUUAUUCUCCUUUCUCCAAGGUUUCAUUUGUCUUUUCUUAACCUGGACUUUUGUUAUACCUGAAUCUUGCAGGAAAUGACAUACGUUGUCUCCUGUGUUAUCAGGAAACAGCACUUCUCGGUUCCAUUUAACGAGCAUAACGACAUCUUCCUUCACUGUUUUCUAGCUAGGACAGGACAUUUCUACACAGCGUGCAAAGACUGAUGACGACACCAUGGCAGCCUGGAAAGAUAAAUUUGUGUCGCCACUGUACCUGCAGAUAUGGCAGUUUGAAGCUCUCUCCAGAACAUAACAAUCAAAUGUUUCCUUGUGAGCUCAAGAACCCAGAGUUAAAGACGACUGAUUCCUGGAAGAAGGGGACAACCUGAAGGAUUGUGUGAUGGUUCUGCUCUAGUCUGUACAGCAAAACUAAG